GUCAACCACUUAAUAUACCGGGUGAUCCGCAAGAAUAGUUGAUUUCCUGAAGGCGAAACGCUGGUGGUAUGGUGGUAUCCAGACGUCGGUCGCUUCGCAGGUAACAAUCGGGAGAAAAUUUCAAAUUAGAAGGUGGGGUAAUAAAAAAAUAUGCAAAUCCUUUCACUCGCAUCCGCACAGUAGAGGGUCAAUGAUAAAUUAUAUUGUAAAAUAGUUUGUAGUAAACGUUGCCAAGUUA